AUUGAACGCUGGCGGCAGGCCUAACACAUGCAAGUCGAGCGGGAACUUCGGCUCUAGCGGCGGACGGGUGAGUAAUGCGUAGGAAGCUACCCGACAGAGGGGGAUACCAGUUGGAAACGACUGUUAAUACCGCAUAAUGUCUACGGACCAAAGUGUGGGACCUUCGGGCCACAUGCUGUCGGAUGCGCCUACGUGGGAUUAGCUAGUUGGUGAGGUAAUGGCUCACCAAGGCGACGAUCCCUAGCUGGUUUGAGAGGAUGAUCAGCCACACUGGAACUGAGACACGGUCCAGACUCCUACGGGAGGCAGCAGUGGGGAAUAUUGGACAAUGGGCGAAAGCCUGAUCCAGCCAUGCCGCGUGUGUGAAGAAGGCCUUCGGGUUGUAAAGCACUUUCAGUAGGGAGGAAGAGUUGAGUGUUAAUAGUACUCAGCUUUGACGUUACCUACAGAAGAAGCACCGGCUAACUCUAUGCCAGCAGCCGCAGUAAGAC
rnacentral:rRNA from 1 species